GUAAUAGCUCACUGGUCGAGUCGGCCUGCGCGGAAGAUGUAACGGGGCUAAACCAUGCACCGAAGCUGCGGCAGCGACGCUUAGGCGUUGUUGGGUAGGGGAGCGUUCUGUAAGCCGUUGAAGGUGUCCUGUGAGGGGUGCUGGAGGUAUCAGAAGUGCGAAUGCUGACAUAAGUAACGAUAAAGCGGGUGAAAAGCCCGCUCGCCGGAAGACCAAGGGUUCCUGUCCAACGUUAAUCGGGGCAGGGUGAGUCGACCCCUAAGGCGAGGCCGAAAGGCGUAGUCGAUGGGAAACAGGUUAAUAUUCCUGUACUUGGUGUUACUGCGAAGGGGGGACGGAGAAGGCUAUGUCAGCCGGGCGACGGUUGUCCCGGUUUAAGCAUGUAGGCGGAGGUUCCAGGUAAAUCCGGUACCUUGUUAACGCUGAGGUGUGAUGACGAGGCACUACGGUGCUGAAGUGAUAAAUGCCCUGCUUCCAGGAAAAGCCUCUAAGCAUCAGGUAACACGAAAUCGUACCCCAAACCGACACAGGUGGUCAGGUAGAGAAUACCAAGGCGCUUGAGAGAACUCGGGUGAAGGAACUAGGCAAAAUGGUGCCGUAACUUCGGGAGAAGGCACGCUGAUAUGUAGGUGAAGUCCCUGCGGGCGGAGCUGAAAUCAGUCGAAGAUACCAGCUGGCUGCAACUGUUUAUUAAAAACACAGCACUGUGCAAACACGAAAGUGGACGUAUACGGUGUGACGCCUGCCCGGUGCCGGAAGGUUAAUUGAUGGG
rnacentral:rRNA from 1 species